GUAAACCAGCCCUUAGUUUCAGGAUUCCUGGAGCAGUACAGAGCUCAUUUUGAUCUCUGUAUUUAGAUAGCCCAGAUAGCAUCUGUGAAUUUCCUUGGUCUUCCUCAGUGGCAGGGCUCCGCAUCUGCCAUGCCUCAUCCUUGGAUGUUUAUUUUUAGUAAGUUGCAGUGAGCUCACUUCUGACUGCUUCAUUUCCCGCAGCCAUCCUGGGCCAUGGGUGGUGAGUUCUGUUACUUGCUGCUUGGCAGCAGAGCUAGUUUGUCUCGUAGUAUUCUUGCAUUGUUAAUCCUAUCUUGACAGUGCCAAGAUCCAUAAGAACUUGGGACCAAGGGGAUUUUGAUUCCUAACUUACAGAAUUAAAAACAAAGUAUAUUAUAAUUUUAAAGCUAUGCCAUGCAAAGAUAAGUAGUAAUACGCUAAUAAAUACUAAGCCAAGUAGGAGAUAACAGGAUUAAGGUAGUUCAUCUAAAACUUCAGUGUCACUGCCCACUGCUGUCGUGGCUGCUUGCUCAGAUGAGGUUUUUUGGGGCCAACUGAUUCCUAACAAAUUUGAGAGCUUCUGUAGCAGUGUAUCUAUUAGUGCAGCUUCUUUCUGAGUAUUGAAGACAAAAAGAGAAAAGUGAGAAAAUUGAAAUUACUGCUAAUAGUGGAGUAAAAAAAGUACCAAAGAUUUUUAAAAAAUUAGUAAAUGUAAAGAUACUAUUUCUUUAAUAAUUUGCAGUCAGGCAUUGGAGUGUUUCCACUAAUGGUUGCGAGCCAACUAUUUAUAGGACAAUGGCUAUAGAAUAUUAUGUAGUCUUAUAAAUUGGGUUUCCUAGGAAGAUAGCUGGCAGAGCUUUUGAAACUAAUAAAGGGAAUAUGAUACUGUGCAUUAUAAAUUAUGUCAGCCCGUCAUCUUAGGGGCAGUUACAGUGGAGCUUUCCCAGUGAUAUAACAGCAUGCUAGUUUAUCUUUUAGUUACCUACCUUAAGCGACUUUCUUUCUUUUCCAAAGGCCAUGAGAAUGGCCGAAACGAAAAGAUUAAUUACCACAAGUACCAUCAAGAUGACACUGGUGAGGAUCAGAAAGGUGCCCAGGACUGGGUCUAAAGCGAAAACCUGGGAAAACAAUAAGAACACUUGCAGUGACUGACAAUUUAGUUUAUACUUUACAAACAUAAGCUAUAUGCUAGUGUUUGGGAUCUUAUCAGAAGAAAAGCUUAUCCGAAGGAAACUUAGGGAGAGAGUCAAAAGAUAAUAAGAAGGAAAAUACUUUUAAAUGGACAGAAGAGCAGGAAUGACUCAUUUUAAGGAGGUUAAGAUAAUUGUGACUGCAGGGCUUUCACAAGAAAACAGGUGAGUUGCAGUGGAAUUGGAAAUGAUUCAAAUGUCACAUGAGUUUUGGCAAAAAAUACAUCUAAUCAUGGAAGCUAAAAGUGGGAGGGGGGUAAGCAAACACUGAAAGAUUAAAUGCAUACCAGAAAUGAGAAUGCACACUGUCUCUGCCAUAUCAAGAAACUACAACCCUAAACACAGGAGCAUUCCAAUAAAAGUUAACAGGUUGGCCACAGAAAA
rnacentral:lncRNA from 1 species